GAAUCGAUCGGAAUCGACCAAUGGCGGCGCGCGAUGAAGAGAUAACCUGAUAACGCGAUGAAUAAAUCCACAAACGUAAAUAUACGCACCGUCGGGACAUUGGAAGACGCAGUUCUCCUCCACAGCGGCAUCGAGCACUUCAUGUAUGUCUUUGAUCUUUCUCGCGACGGUUAUGGCAUUGGUAAAGAGAUCUUGAAAGACAGACUCCGCCGCCAGCACGGCGUCCCGUAAAUUCGACAACAAUCCGGCGCCGUAGCCGGACCAGGCGUAUGCCAAAAAUGUUAACACGUAGAUUAUGAUUUUACGAUAUUGUGAUAAAUCCAUUCCUCGUGGUGACUUCGAUCGUUUUGUUUUGGGAUCGAUGCGAGUGGACGAUCUCCGCUGGACUGCGGAUAUUUUUAGGUGAGAAUUUGUUAAUUAUAAACAAGAUUGAAAUCACUCAUUCUCAUAGAAUUAAACGAACCGUACAAACAGAAGAAGGCAUUAGAACGAGAAAUAGCGAUGGAAGAAGAAAAAUUAGAUGCUCAAAUGGAGUUCGUUAGACACGAACAUGAAAUAGAACUUUUGAAAGAAAAAUUGCGUAUGCGCGAGGCGGAUCGCGAAAGACAGAAAAAAGAGUGGGACAUGAAACAGCGACAAGCCGAAAAACAGAAGAUUCGCGAGUUGGAAUUAAGACGUCCCAAAUGGGCAAAAUUACCUCCUUAGCCAUUUUGCAGUACGGGCAGUGAGUCUUGGAGAAUAUGACGACUGAAUCCUUUGCGAUGAGUUCGUUGACGAGAUCUCGCGUGACAGGCAUGAUUGACUUCUUUGUACUGGAAACUGAACCCAUUUGAUUGAGCUAAAGAGAUCAUUCACUUCGAUUAUGCCUCGCACGUUUGCGUGCACUGUUCAAUUAUAAAGAAUUUAAACUGCGCCCGAUUUCCGGUAUUGUAUGAAAUCUGAUAAAAGAACUUGGGUUUUCUAAAGACUAAUAGUAUAUAAUUCUUGCUACAAAAUAGAUUUUACUAUCAGAUAGCAGAUCAGACACAGUUUGAAUCAUUCAUUAAACACUCUGCAAUUAUAUGUUGCAAAAAUUCAUGCACUUUAUUAUUAGAAAUAUCUGAAUAAAUAUUUAACACAUUAUUAUAUAGAGGAAUAGAUCUAAGUACAUGUGCGAUUUUGUUAACGCAAAAAAUUAUUUGGAAAUAAAAAUAAAUCC